UGUUGAAUGAGUCAGAUAGUAGAUUAGUUUAGAGACCUUACGAUAGAUAACGACAGUCACAGUCCAUAGUUUCAUGUUUCGGUUCAUAGUCUUAGUCUUAGUUCAUAGUUCAUGUCAUGUUUAGUUUCGUUUGUUAAGUUCACGCUGGUUUCUCCGCUACCAGUCCCUCGCUGCUGUUUGUUUCAUGUUUGGUAUAUCGACCCUGUAUCCCGAGACCACGACGUUGAUUCCUGCCUUGCCUCGUUUAUGCCUGUUUGCUGAUCGCCUGAACCUUGCAUGUUACUGGAUUACGUUUUUGGAUCACGUUUUGGAUUUGUCUGCCUGUCUCUCUUUAAAUAAAACUGUUGUUCAACCCGUGCUUGCUUCCUACCUUAUCUCCGUUGCGUCACGAAACGUGACACUCUGUAUAUACAGGGGGUGCAGUGCAAUCUGUAUCAGUAUCUGUUUAAUGCUCAAAUUAUUCAUAUCUGUUCAUUUUCAGAUUUAAAGAUUUAAACAAAUUUUAGAUCGCUCACAGUCAGUGUGAGGGAAAAAUGUAUAUAUGCCUCUUUUUUUUAAAAUUUAUUUAUUUAUUUAUUUUUUAUACACUAAAGGGGAAACUGAAGCACUAACAUCCUCUGAUGCUGUGCAGGAAAUCAAGGGUCAUAGGGAGCCAGGAGCCUAUCCCCAGGGACUUGGGGUAUAAGGCGGGUAUUGUACAAAGGCUGUGGGACUCCAAAGGAUCACACUGAGAGCCAUCAUCUCCAAAUAGAAAAACUCGGCACAGUAGUGAACCUUCCCAGAAGUGGCCGACCUUCCAAAAUCCUCUAAGAGCACAGCAACUACUCAUCCAGCAAGUCACAAAAGAGCCAAGGACAACAUCAAAGGAACUACAGGCCUCUCUUGCAUCAAAAAAGGUCACUCUUCAUGACUCCACUAUCAUAAAGACACUGGGCAAAAAUGGCAUCCAUGGAAUAGUGGCGAAGUGAAAACCACUGCUAACCCAUAAGAACAUUAAGGCUUGUCUGAAUUUUGGCAAAACACACCUUGAUUAUUCUCAAACAUUUUGGGAGAAUGUUCUGUGGAUUGAUCAGUCAAAAAUGAAACUGUUUGGAAGACAGGGGUCUCGUUAGGCAUAAACCAAACACAGAAUUCCACAAAAAGAACAUCACACCUACAGUCAAGCAUGGUGGUGGAAGUGUGAUGGUGAAAAAAAAAAUUGCAGCGCAUAACUUUUCAGCCCUGUGGACCUUCCUG
ensembl:lncRNA